rnacentral:rRNA from 1 species
UACGUAGGCAGCAAGCGUUGUUCGGAGUUACUGGGCGUAAAGGGUGCGUAGGCGGCUCUAUAAGUAUGGUGUGAAAUCUCCCGGCUUAACUGGGAGGGUGCGCUAUAGACUGUGGGGCUAGUGUGUGGGAGAGGAAAGUGGAAUUCCUGGUGUAGCGGUGAAAUGCGUAGAUAUCAGGAGGAACACCGGUGGUGUAAACGGCUUUCUGGACCAUAACUGACGCUGAGGCACGAAAGCGUGGGUAGCAAACAGG